rnacentral:rRNA from 1 species
GAUGAACGCUGGCGGCGUGCCUAAUACAUGCAAGUCGAGCGAACAGACGAGGAGCUUGCUCCUCUGACGUUAGCGGCGGACGUGUGAUUAACACGUGGAUAACCUACCUAUAAGACUUGGAUAACUUCGGGAAACCGGAGCUAAUACCGGAUCAUAUAUUGAACCGCAUGGUUCAAUAGUGUAAGACGGUUUUGCUGUCUCUUAUAGAUUGUUCCGCGCCGCAUUAGCUAGUUGGUAAGGUAACGGCUUACCAAGGCAGCGAUGCGUAGCCGACCUGAGAGGGUGAUCGGACACACUGGAAGUGAGACAGGGACCAGAGUCCUACGGGAGGCAGCAGUAGGGAAUAUUCCGCAAUGGGAGAAAGCAUGACGGAGCAACGCCGCGUGAGUGAUGAAGGUCUUAGGAUCGUAAAACUCUGUUAUUAGGGAAGAAAAAAUGAGUAAGUAACUAUGCACGUAGUGACGGUACCUAAUCAGAAAGCCACGGCUAACUACGUG